AUUGAACGCUGGCGGCAGGCCUAACACAUGCAAGUCGAACGAGUGGCGGACGGGUGAGUAAUGUCUGGGAAUCUGCCUUAUGGAGGGGGAUAACUACUGGAAACGGUAGCUAAUACCGCAUACCAUCAGAUGAGCCCAGAUGGGAUUAGCUUGUAGGUGGGGUAAUGGCUCACCUAGGCGACGAUCCCUAGCUGGUCUGAGAGGAUGACCAGCCACACUGGGACUGAGACACGGCCCAGACUCCUACGGGAGGCAGCAGUGGGGAAUAUUGCACAAUGGGCGCAAGCCUGAUGCAGCCAUGCCGCGUGUAUGAAGAAGGCCUUCGGGUUGUAAAGUACUUUCAGUCGGGAGGCGUUACCGGCAGAAGAAGCACCGGCUAACUCCGUGCCAGCAGCCGCGGUAAUUC
rnacentral:rRNA from 1 species